rnacentral:rRNA from 1 species
NUCGACCUCGGAUCGGACGAGACCACCCGCUGAAUUUAAGCAUAUCACUAAGCGGAGGAAAAGAAACUAACCAGGAUUCCCCCAGUAGCGGCGAGUGAAGCGGGAAGAGCCCAUCGCCGAAUCCCAGCGCCCUCAGGCUCUGGGAGCUGUGGCGUGAGGCGGCUUCGGGCGCGCGAGUCCACGACGCCGAGGUCCUCCUGAUCGGGGCACCUUACCCAGAGCGGGUGUCAGCGCGUUCGGGCGCCGGGACUCAAGGGCCUGGAGCCACCAAGAGUCGGGUAGUUUUGGAAUGCUGCCCAAAGAGGGGUGGUGAACUCCAUCCAAGGCUAAAUACUGGCACGAGACCGAUAGCAGACAAGUACCGUGAGGGAAAGU